AGGGACUUCGGUCCUGAGUAGAGUGGCGCACGGGUGAGUAACACGUGGAUAACCUGCCCUAAGGUCUGGGAUAACAUUUCGAAAGGGAUGCUAAUACCGGAUAAGCCUACGCCCCCCUCGGGGGAAGUAGGAAAAGAUUUAUUGCCUUGGGAUGGGUCCGCGGUCCAUUAGCUAGUUGGUAGGGUAAUGGCCUACCAAGGCUUCGAUGGAUAGCUGGUCUGAGAGGAUGAUCAGCCACACUGGGACUGAGACACGGCCCAGACUCCUACGGGAGGCAGCAGUGGGGAAUAUUGCACAAUGGAGGAAGCUCUGAUGCAGCCAUGCCGCGUGUGUGAAGAAGGCCCGAGGGUUGUAAAGCACUUUUAGUGAGGAGGAAAGGUUAGUAGUUAAUACCUGCUAGCUGUGACGUUACUCACAGAAAAAGCACCGGCUAACUCUGUGCCAGCAGCCGCGGUAAUACAGAGGGUGCAAGCGUUAUUCGGAAUUACUGGGCGUAAAGCGCGCGUAGGCGGAUUGUUAAGUCAGUUGUGAAAGCCCUGGGCUCAACCUAGGAACGGCGAUUGAAACUGGCAGUCUAGAGUUUAGUAGAGGGAAGGGGAAUUUCUGGAGUAGCAGUGAAAUGCGUAGAUAUCAGAAGGAACAUCAGUGGCGAAGGCGCCUUCCUGGACUAAAACUGACGCUGAGGUGCGAAAGC
rnacentral:rRNA from 1 species